GACGAACGCUGGCGGCGUGCCUAAUACAUGCAAGUAGAACGCUGACUACUUUAGCUUGCUAGAGUAGAAGGAGUUGCGAACGGGUGAGUAACGCGUAGGUAACCUGCCUACUAGCGGGGGAUAACUAUUGGAAACGAUAGCUAAUACCGAAUAACAGUGUUUAACACAUGUUAGAUGCUUGAAAGAUACAAUUGCAUCACUAGUAGAUGGACCUGCGUUGGAUUAGCUAGUUGGUGGGGUAACGGCCCACCAAGGCGACGAUACAUAGCCGACCUGAGAGGGUGUUCGGCCACACUGGGACUGAGACACGGCCCAGACUCCUACGGGAGGCAGCAGUAGGGAAUCUUCGGCAAUGGGGGCAACCCUGACCGAGCAACGCCGCGUGAGUGAAGAAGGUUUUCGGAUCGUAAAGCUCUGUUGUAAGAGAAGAACGUGUGUGAGAGUGGAGAGUUCACACAGUGACGGUAACUUACCAGAAAGGGACGGCUAACUACGUGCCAGCCGCCGCCGUAA
rnacentral:rRNA from 1 species